AGGUCCCCGAGCCCGCCCCGGGGGGCGCCCACACACUGGCCGAGCCCCGCACAACGCAGCCAGCUUGCGGGUGCUGCGGGGGCCCAGUGGGUGCAGCCCUCCUGGCCAGGGACCGCCUGACGGAGCUGCCUCGGGCCGGACACAGCUCCUCUCCUUCCAGGCCAAGCCAGCACCAGGGGGGAUUCAGCGGGGGGGUAUCGCAAAUCCCCACCCUUCACGGAGCAUCUUCAAAGCACGCUUUACUAUCCCUGGCAAAGCCCCACAGUACUGAUUGUCUCUCUCUAAAGAUAAAGAUCUGAUAAAUAUGACCCCCCCCCACACACACACGUAUAAACAUAUAUGUACAUCUUUUGCGUCAACGGUAUAUAGCAGGAGCUGAAGUGGUUUCUUCAUAUGCAGAUCUCUAUUGUGCAAUGAAUGCUUCCUCCUGCGAUGAGACGCAUGGGGAAUAGUUAUGAUUUCAUUUUGAAAGCGAACUUUACCUUUUCAGCGGGGGGUUUCCCCCUCCCUCCCCCCAAUUGUCUUUAUAGAAGCUUCCCCAGAUACAAGCCUUACUUGAUUGCAUAUUGUGUUCUUAUCGACUUGUAAGCUUAGUAAUGACAUAACUUUAUGUAUGAAUAAUUUUUAUUUGCAGUCCUUAAAAAAAGAGGUGAAUGAGACAUCCCAGCACGACCCGGCUAUGGAACUGGAAAACACCAUUUGCCGUAGGCGGCCAGGUACAUACAUAUAUAGGAAGCCACGAAAGCACUGAAGCCCAGUAGUGAAAAGCCAACUUCAAAGAACAUCAUUAUGGACAACCACCAGGCAGUCUUCUAUAGGUUGGUCGUCUGGCUUCAGUUUCUUCACUUCAUCCUGGUGUCUGGCCAUAACUUCAGUAUCUGCAAACAUGGAGAAAUAAAAGACAAGUAUAUGUUCAUCCUCAUGCCCGACUUAGAUACAUACCCGGGUAAAAAGGUGAUGUUUUUUUCCUCGUGUCCAACCAAAUCGAUGAUACAGUUGCUGCUGCUACAUCUCUGCCUGCCCUUAAUGGUGCUCGAAAGAUAGUUUGGAGAAUAUUUACUGGUAAAUCUGGGUCUUGAUUAGCUUGGUAAAUGGUUUUCGCCCAACAGCUUUUGGAAGGGAAAAUUUCCCCCUCAUUUUCCAGGGGGACCUGAAGCCUGAAUUCAAGAUAUCCCUGUAACUUGCAGUGGAUGAGAAAAGGUGAAACAAGGGCACAGUCCUUCCAACCAAGAUAAAUCUGACUGUGUAUUUCAUUCUUCAAUAUUAAUAUGCAACAGUAAUAUGCAUGAUAGGAUGUAAGUGGGAUAUGACAUGUGUACUGUGCAUGUGUCCAUACACACACCUACCACGGAAGACUUUUCUUGAAGCUAAGCAUGUCAGUAGAUUGCGCUGGACAGGGACUUGUCAGAUAACUUCGAUCACUUGAGAUAAGUGUUCCAGGUACCAGGUAUGGGAAGAAAAUUCAAUGGCUCAUAAAAACUUUGCAAUCAUUGUAACCAAUUUAUACCAUAAAUGCAAAAGCCAACAAUGCUGGAGAAAGUUCCCUUUUGUUAAAUCAAGUUGCCUGGUGUGAUCGUCUGGUUAUAUGUGAACUGCUGUUAUUUUCUCUCUCUGUCUCUAGGAUCAAGAUUAUCAUGACUGCGAAGUCGGUGUGAGUGUUAUUCCAUUGCUCUUUGAACCCAUGAAAUGAUGCUUAGGAAAAAAUGAAGGGGCUUCGGGACCUCCCGUGGUAGAGCAGGCAAAGCUUGGAGCUCGGUUCACAGAGCCCAACAAUAAUGAAGUGGUUUGGGGUUGAUACAAACAUAAAACUUGCUGGGGAUGGGGAGGCGGAGAUUAAGAUAUUUUAAACAGAAAACCAUGAAAACGUGCAGAUUGAUAGCUGAGCGUGUUUCGCUCAUUCUCUUCACUGCUUUUCAAAGGUGCUGAAAAGGACACGGUCCAUGGUAGAUAGGGAUGUGUAGCUCUUUCAGGCAGUUUCUUAGAAAGCGGAAGGAUUUGCUGAGAAAGGUGUAACUGGUGCCAUCUAUCGGCUGUUAACUUCAGCUGACCGAUCGCGAUCACAUUGUCUCCGCGUACCAGAACGAAAACCUGUUGCGAUGCAUACACAACGUUACCAGGCGCUGCAUCUGCACGCAGUAUAAGCACAUCUGGCAGGACACUCGUGCGCUUCUGAACGAAAAUUGCAAAAGCUACGACCCUUUGCAGGAUACUGGAUGUCUCAAACCUGUUGCUCGGAAAAGAAGGGCCUCAGGCUCCUGUAAUAAAGAACUUGCAGAACUAAGGUCAUUAUGGAGAAGUUACAUGAACCUCGAGGACACGGU